UGCUCUCUAACCUUCGGGGGCUAAUCAGGCUGAGCGGGGAGGACGUGGACCAGCGAGGGUAACGCGCUGCGUUGCCGUGGUGUUCUGCUUUGCUGUGUGUCGGUGUGACCUGCCCCCUGCAGAGGGUGGUGCAGAG
rnacentral:SRP_RNA from 1 species